UUAUGUUCAAUAGGGAAAAAUGCGGGUCGUGUUAGAAUAAACGUUAAGGCAUUUUAAGCUUGACUAUUCGAUAAGAAUAAGUAUAGCUAUUGUAGUUUCCCGGGCGUCGGCGUAACCACUUAUGAUAAAGUUUUUGUAAUACCUCAAAUAUUUUCAAAGUCCAUUGACAUAUGGCUUUGAAACUUUGCACAUUUGUUCACCAUCAUGACCCCAUCCGGUAGACUGUAUGAAGCAUUUUGACAGAAUUAUGCCCCUUUUUCGACUUAGAAUUUACGUUCAAGUUUUUGUAAUAGUUAAAAUAUUUUCAAAGUCCAUUGCCAUAUAACUUGUUCCCCAUCAUGGCCCCAACCUGUAGACAGGAGGAGGUAACUGUAUCAAGCAUUUUGACAUAAUUAUGCCCCUUUUUCGAAUUAAAAUUUACGUUAAAGUUUUACAUCUUACAUGUUCUUAAUCAACUAUUACAACAUUAUAAAACACUUAUUUCCAAUUUCAAUAGAAUUAAAAAAUUAUUAAUUUCUGAGGAAUUCUGUGCCUUUACAAUGUCAUUCUAUUCUUUAUACAUAAAAACAUUCUUGUGAAGCUUGGGACCCAUAUUUAAUCAACAAUCUUUUAUUCCUCAUUCAGUGUAAUUAUACCUCACAGAUGGAACUGGCAUGGUGAUGUUAAAUCUGUGUCAACAUCUUCCAACUGGUUUGUCAGAUUGUAAAUGAAUACAGUCAAACUGUUGUACUUUCCUACAGACAGCUCUUGUUUUAGUUAAAGCCCAUUAUGCCUCCGAAAUAAAUAAAAAUUUACUUCUUUAGAAAGGUCAAACAUAAGUUUUUUAACAUUAGCAAAAUGUGACUUCCAUACAAAGUACUAAAUUACUAUAAAUGUGCUAAUUGCCAAAAAGCAACAGAAGAAGAAGACAGUUCAGGUAAUUGCCCAAUGUGUAACUUAAAACUAUAAAAUAAUACCAAAAGUAAGAUUUUCAGAAAUAAAAAUGAAAGCAUUUCUGGGGCAUAAUGAGCCUGUAAUAAAAAUUGUUGUUAACUUUGAUUUAUUCCUUAUAGAAAAUAGUAUUGGUGUUCAUGCAGAGAUGUGAUAUAAUAUUUACUGUAGGAAAGAAAGAAAAGAGAGGGAAGAGAACUUAUUGAAGCAGAGGAAGCUAAACAAAGACAGAAAAUUGAAGCACAUAAACAAAUGUUACAGGAAAGAAAACCGCAAGGAGGAGCUAAAGAAUGAAAUUCCUCCAGAACCUGAGAAUGGUCAUGCAGAAUCUGUUUGUGUUGUUCUAAAACACCUAAUGGAACAAGAAUAGAGAGGCUGUUUUUGAAGUCUCGGUCAUUAAAAUAUCUGUAUUAUUUCACAUUCUGUCAUGAAGAUUGUCCGGACGAUUUCCAUAAUGUUACUAACUUCCCGAGAAAGACAUUACCAUGUGAACCAACAAGUGAAUAUCCUGAACCAAUCACAUUUGAAGAAGCUGGAUUAGGAAAGAAUGAAAUGCUUUUUGUCCAAGAUAAUGAAUCUUGAAUGACAGAUAAUAAUUAUGAUAUUCUGUGAUAUUAGAACACAAAACUAUGUUCAUGCUUGUCCGUUUUCCUGUUGUGAUCAUUAUCUUACAACCAGUUGGUCAGAUUGUUAUUUGAAAUGAGACGGAAUUUUGUUUAAAAUGCCACCAUGAUCCACCAAAUUGUUGAGGAGUUAUUGCCCUUUGCUAUUUACAAUGAUUUAAAAAUAU